rnacentral:rRNA from 1 species
UAGGGAAUCUUCGGCAAUGGGGGCAACCCUGACCGAGCAACGCCGCGUGAGUGAAGAAGGUUUUCGGUUCGUAAAGCUCUGUUGUAAGAGAAGAACGUGUGCGAGAGUGGAAAGUUCACACAGUGACGGUAACUUACCAGAAAGGGACGGUUAACUACGUGCCAGCAGCCGCGGUAAUACGUAGGUCCCGAGCGUUGUCCGGAUUUAUUGGGCGUAAAGCGAGCGCAGGCGGUUUAAUAAGUCUGAAGUUAAAGGCAGUGGCUUAACCAUUGUUCGCUUUGGAAACUGGUGAACUUGAGUGCAGAAGGGGAGAGUGGAAUUCCAUGUGUAGCGGUGAAAUGCGUAGAUAUAUGGAGGGACACCGGUGGCGAAAGCGGCUCUCUGGUCUGUAACUGACGCUGAGGCUCGAAAGCGUGGGGGGCAAACAGG